rnacentral:rRNA from 1 species
GUUGUGGUUGAAAAGCUCGUAGUUGGAUCUCAACAGACCCGGGUCGGUUUACUUUGUGUAAUACUGAUCCGGUACUGUGCUUUUGCUGGAGGUUUAGGGGUGCUCUUAACCGAGUGUCUCUGAGUGCCAGCAGGUUUACUUUGGAGAAAAUAAAUUGCUCAAGGAGGGCUGUUAUGCCUGAAUAUUUGUGCAUGGAAUAAUAGAAUGGGAUGUUGAUCUUAUUUGUUGGUU